rnacentral:rRNA from 1 species
GAUGAACGCUGGCGGCGUGCCUAAUACAUGCAAGUCGAGCGAACGGACGAGAAGCUUGCUUCUCUGAUGUUAGCGGCGGACGGGUGAGUAACACGUGGAUAACCUACCUAUAAGACUGGGAUAACUUCGGGAAACCGGAGCUAAUACCGGAUAAUAUUUUGAACCGCAUGGUUCAAAAGUGAAAGACGGUCUUGCUGUCACUUAUAGAUGGAUCCGCGCUGCAUUAGCUAGUUGGUAAGGUAACGGCUUACCAAGGCAACGAUGCAUAGCCGACCUGAGAGGGUGAUCGGCCACACUGGAACUGAGACACGGUCCAGACUCCUACGGGAGGCAGCAGUAGGGAAUCUUCCGCAAUGGGCGAAAGCCUGACGGAGCAACGCCGCGUGAGUGAUGAAGGUCUUCGGAUCGUAAAACUCUGUUAUUAGGGAAGAACAUAUGUGUAAGUAACUGUGCACAUCUUGACGGUACCUAAUCAGAAAGCCACGGCUAACUACGUGCCAGCAGCCGCGGUAAUACGUAGGUGGCAAGCGUUAUCCGGAAUUAUUGGGCGUAAAGCGCGCGUAGGCGAUUUUUUAAGUCUGAUGUGAAAGCCCACGGCUCAACCGUGGAGGGUCAUUGGAAACUGGAAAACUUGAGUGCAGAAGAGGAAAGUGGAAUUCCAUGUGUAGCGGUGAAAUGCGCAGAGAUAUGGAGGAACACCAGUGGCGAAGGCGACUUUCUGGUCUGUAACUGACGCUGAUGUGCGAAAGCGUGGGGAUCAAACAGGAUUAGAUACCCUGGUAGUCCACGCCGUAAACGAUGAGUGCUAAGUGUUAGGGGGUUUCCGCCCCUUAGUGCUGCAGCUAACGCAUUAAGCACUCCGCCUGGGGAGUACGACCGCAAGGUUGAAACUCAAAGGAAUUGACGGGGACCCGCACAAGCGGUGGAGCAUGUGGUUUAAUUCGAAGCAACGCGAAGAACCUUACCAAAUCUUGACAUCCUUUGACAACUCUAGAGAUAGAGCCUUCCCCUUCGGGGGACAAAGUGACAGGUGGUGCAUGGUUGUCGUCAGCUCGUGUCAUGAGAUGUUGGGUUAAGUCCCGCAACGAGCGCAACCCUUAAGCUUAGUUGCCAUCAUUAAGUUGGGCACUCUAAGUUGACUGCCGGUGACAAACCGGAGGAAGGUGGGGAUGACGUCAAAUCAUCAUGCCCCCUAUGAUUUGGGCUACACACGUGCUACAAUGGACAAUACAAAGGGCAGCGAAACCGCGAGGUCAAGCAAAUCCCAUAAAGUUGUUCUCAGUUCGGAUUGUAGUCUGCAACUCGACUACAUGAAGCUGGAAUCGCUAGUAAUCGUAGAUCAGCAUGCUACGGUGAAUACGUUCCCGGGUCU